CAGAAGAAAGAAACUCAUGCAUGUUUGGAACAACUUGAGGAGCUCCCAGAUGGCACAGGCGGUCCACAGACCUGCACCAGUCCUGGUGAGGCAGUACCAAGGCAAAGAGGAACCAGGUACAAAUACAUAGACAACAAGAAAGGUAGUGUAAAUAGUUUGGUAUGUCUUGAUUGCUUUCAUAUGUGUCAUUGUAAUUUGCUUCAUUUUAUCACAUUGCCUCUUAUUUAAAUUCUUUUCUUGUUGUUAUUGUUGAGUUAUUCACACAGUACAGCACAGAAACCUUUCCAGAGGCUUUGUAAAACAUUGCCAAACAGCUUCAUUCUUGACACUCCCAAAGCUCUAAGCAGCCAGAUGAGAGCGGAGAUAGGAAAAGAGAAAAGAAAAGUAGAUGUAAGAGGUCAGGAGAGGGGGGAGUUUGACUUAUCUGUCCAUCCUGAGAGCUUCAAAUGGGGGAUUUGGUUUUCUGCAGCACCUGGCUACUUUCACCAUCUCUGAAGCUCAUACAGUAGUUCUUCUCUUUCAGCUGAGUUGUGAUAUUUUAAAGCAGCGCUGACCAAGAAGGUUUGACCUUACCACCUGAUCCUCUGCAAAAACAGAUACCAAUCUCUACUCUGUGAAGACAUUUUUCUGCACACAGAAGGAGGAGGAAGUGAUGUCAGAGUGAUGUCAGUAAGGCUGCCCUCUGUCAAACAAGAUCAGGAGUCUGUCAGCCUCAGCUCUGUUGAAGGAGAUACAGAGUCUUCUGCUAAUGAUGUGUUUUAACAGUGAUGACCCUGUGAAACCUCUAGCAGGAAACUGCUAAGUGCCUGAAAGGAAGGAGAUGUUCUCAGCCUUAAAUUAUUCACAUCACAGAAACUCGUUUUUGGAUGACAGUCAGUGCAAGAGAUAUAAUGAACUCUCUCUAAUGUCUCUUGCAUUGCUGUUAAAUAAAUCCAUAUGUGCUGUUGUUUGCUGUGCGACUGUAAUAGUACAUUUUUAAACAAAUAAAUUGUAAACAAAUGUGUAUCUUUCUUUGUUUUUGCACUUUCCCAC
ensembl:lncRNA